GACGAACGCUGGCGGCGUGCCUAAUACAUGCAAGUUGAGCGCUGAAGGUUGGUCCUUGUACCAACUGGAUGAGCAGCGAACGGGUGAGUAACGCGUGGGGAAUCUGCCUUUGAGCGGGGGACAACAUUUGGAAACGAAUGCUAAUACCGCAUAAAAACUUUAAACACAAGUUUUAGGUUUGAAAGAUGCAAUUGCAUCACUCAAAGAUGAUCCCGCGUUGUAUUAGCUAGUUGGUGAGGUAAAGGCUCACCAAGGCGAUGAUACAUAGCCGACCUGAGAGGGUGAUCGGCCACAUUGGGACUGAGACACGGCCCAAACUCCUACGGGAGGCAGCAGUAGGGAAUCUUCGGCAAUGGACGAAAGUCUGACCGAGCAACGCCGCGUGAGUGAAGAAGGUUUUCGGAUCGUAAAACUCUGUUGGUAGAGAAGAACGUUGGUGAGAGUGGAAAGCUCAUCAAGUGACGGUAACUACCCAGAAAGGGACGGCUAACUACGUG
rnacentral:rRNA from 1 species